CACCGGCAGCCCAAGUGGUGGCCAUUUUUAUUGGGUUUAAAGGGUGCGUAGGCGGACUAGUAAGUCAGUGGUGAAAUCCUGCAGCUUAACUGUAGAAUUGCCGUUGAUACUGUUAGUCUUGAGUACAUUUGAGGUAGGCGGAAUGUGGUGUGUAGCGGUGAAAUGCAUAGAUAUACCACAGAACACCGAUUGCGAAGGCAGCUUACUAAACUGUAACUGACGCUGAGGCACGAAAGCGUGGGUAUCAAACAGGAUUAGAUACCCUGGUAGUCCACGCUGUAAACGAUGAUUACUGGUUGUUUGCGAUACAUUGCAAGAGACUGAGCGAAAGCAUUAAGUAAUCCACCUGGGGAGUACGUCGGCAACGAUGAA
rnacentral:rRNA from 1 species